AGUAACCGUGUCAGGUGACAUGGAACUCUGCUCAGAAUCUCCCUGAUGACAAAACUAAGUGCACAGGGGCCAUCUAGACUCGCU
ensembl:snoRNA